UCUUCCCUUCUGCAGUAUAUAUAUUUUUUCUCCUUUCAACUCCAUAGUUGCGUUCUCUGUAGAAAAUCUUAUCUACAUUUUGAAGUUGAAGCUGAGGGGUUGAAGAUUAUGUCUGAAUGGACACAUGAAGGAGACUGAGGCAAAAGAAUGAGGGGAAAAUGGAGAGCAUGGCCUUAGAGAGAGAGAAGGCAAGAAAGAGAGCAAAAGAGACGUAGGAGAGUACCGGUACUGGCAAGAAAAACGGGAGGGGGAAGAGAGGACCAGUAAGGGGAUAGACUUGGGAAGGAGGGACAGCUGCAUAGGAAUUGACAAAAAUCGCGGGAAAAAGGGGGGAAAAAAACUCCAGAACGAGAAGAAACUGGACUUCUCUCCAAACUCAGACUCGCACUAUGUGGCCGCCUUUGAUUUUGUUUUCAGACAUGAUUUUUCAUCAGUUCUGAUCAUUCAUCUACUGAACCUGAAACAGCCAGAUCAUCAGGACGGGAUUUUAAAAGGUAAGGAAAUUUCUUGCUAUAAAGGGAGAUGAAAGAAGCAAAAAAUUCUGUAGUUUGUGCUUUACUGAUCAGAGUUUUGCUUAUUGGCACUCAGUAGUCAGGAACACUUGGUCAGCCAUUUUAGUCUGUGGUCCGAUCGAAAAGCCGAUGCACCAUCACAAUAAUUGAAUUACUCUUCCCUGAGUCAUCCUGUUGUGACACAGAUAUC
ensembl:lncRNA